AAAGGCCCUGCUUGCAGGGUACUCGAGUGGCGGAACGGGUGAGUAACACGUGGGUGAUCUGCCCUGCACUUCGGGAUAAGCUUGGGAAACUGGGUCUAAUACCGGAUAGGAGCCAUCUUUAGUGUGGUGGUUGGAAAGUUUUUUCGGUGUAGGAUGAGCUCGCGGCCUAUCAGCUUGUUGGUGGGGUAAUGGCCUACCAAGGCGGCGACGGGUAGCCGGCCUGAGAGGGUGUACGGCCACAUUGGGACUGAGAUACGGCCCGGACUCCUACGGGAGGCAGCAGUGGGGAAUAUUGCACAAUGGGCGCAAGCCUGAUGCAGCGACGCCGCGUGGGGGAUGAAGGCCUUCGGGUUGUAAACUCCUUUCGCUAGGGACGAAGCUUUGUGUGACGGUACCUAGAUAAGAAGCACCGGCUAACUAC
rnacentral:rRNA from 1 species